AAUCAACGCUGGCGGCGUGCCUCAGACAUGCAAGUCGAACGCGAAAGGCUCCUUCGGGGGCCGAGUAGAGUGGCGCACGGGUGAGUAACACGUAGGUAAUUUGCCUUUGGGUGGGGAAUAACUCGGGGAAACUUGAGCUAAUACCGCAUAAUGCAGCGGCUCGACAUCGAGACAGUUGUUAAAGCGGGGGAUCGCAAGACCUCGCGCCUGAAGAGAAGCCUGCGGCAGAUUAGCUAGUUGGUAGGGUAAUGGCCUACCAAGGCGACGAUCUGUAACCGGCCUGAGAGGGCGGUCGGUCACACUGACACUGACAUACGGGUCAGACUCCUACGGGAGGCAGCAGUCGGGAAUUUUGGGCAAUGGGCGCAAGCCUGACCAGCAACGCCGCGUGAAGGAUAGAAAUCCCUCGGGAUAGU
rnacentral:rRNA from 1 species